UACGGAGGGGGCUAGCGUUGUUCGGAAUUACUGGGCGUAAAGCGCACGUAGGCGGCUUUGUAAGUUAGAGGUGAAAGCCCAGGGCUUAACCCUGGAAUUGCCUUUAAGACUGCAUCGCUAGAAUCGUGGAGAGGUGAGUGGAAUUCCGAGUGUAGAGGUGAAAUUCGUAGAUAUUCGGAAGAACACCAGUGGCGAAGGCGACUCACUGGACACGGUAUUGACGCGUGAGGUGCGAAAGCGUGGGGAGCAAACAGG
rnacentral:rRNA from 1 species